rnacentral:lncRNA from 1 species
CAUCUUUAGGUCUUGAUUGGCUCCUUGUCUUGGAUUUGAAUUUUCCAUGGCUUUUGUUGCAUUAUAUAGUCCUUCCUUUGUCUUUUUGAGUGACCAAGGAAGAAUCAGAGUUUUCUUUGAAUUUUUUCUUUCUGAUAUCUUCAUUGAGAAUCAGGUUCCGAACCUCUUCAAAUUUUAGCUUGCUUGAGCCACAAGAACAACUCACUGCUGUCAC